rnacentral:tRNA from 1 species
GGAUUGUGGCUCAGUGGUAGAGUGCUUGCCUACCAUGCAUGAGGCACUGGGUUUGAUCCUCAGCACCA